rnacentral:rRNA from 1 species
UAACCCAUGCAUGUUUUUGACAUUUGAAAAAUGGACUGCUCAGUAAUACUCACUUUAUUUUAUGUAAAUUUUUAAUUAACUACCUUCAAGUGUAGAUAAGAUGUUUACAGUAAGAGUGAGACCUAUCAGCUAGUUGUUAAGGUAAUGGCUUAACAAGGCUGUGACGGGUAACGGUAUUACUUUGUAAUAUUCCGGAGAAGGAGCCUGAGAGACGGCUACUAAGUCUAAGGAUUGCAGCAGGGGCGAAACUUGACCUAUGGAUUUUAUCUGAGGCAGUUAUGGGAAGUAAUAUUAUAUUGUUUCAUAUUUUAAAAGUAUAUGAGGUGAUUAAUUGGAGGGCAAAUCAAGUGCCAGCAGCCGCGGUAAUACUUGUUCCAAGAGUGUGUAUGAUGAUUGAUGCAGUUAAAAAGUCCGUAGUUUAUUUUUUUAAGAAGCAAUAUGAGGUGUACUGUAUAGUUGGGAGAAAGAUGAAAUGUGACGACCCUGACUGGACGAACAGAAGCGAAAGCUGUACACUUGUAUGUAUUUUUUGAACAAGGACGUAAGCUGGAGGAGCGAAGAUGAUUAGAUACCAUUGUAGUUCCAGCAGUAAACUAUGCCGACGAUGUGAUAUGAAAAUAUUAAUUUGUAUUACAUAAUAGAAAUUUGAGUUUUUUGGCUCUGGGGAUAGUAUGAUCGCAAGAUUGAAAAUUAAAGAAAUUGACGGAAGAAUACCACAAGGAGUGGAUUGUGCGGCUUAAUUUGACUCAACGCGAGGUAACUUACCAAUAUUUUAUUAUUUUGAGAGAACGGUUUUUUGUUUGAGAAUGAUAAUAGUGGUGCAUGGCCGUUUUCAAUGGAUGCUGUGAAGUUUUGAUUAAUUUCAACAAGACGUGAGACCCUUAUUUUUUAUUAAAGACAGACACAAUCAGUGUAGGAAGGAAAGGAUUAAAACAGGUCCGUUAU